rnacentral:rRNA from 2 species
UACGUAGGCAGCAAGCGUUGUUCGGAAUUACUGGGCGUAAAGAGUGUGUAGGCGGUGCUCUAAGUCUGUCGUGAAAUCUCCCGGCUUAACUGGGAGGGUGCGGCGGAAACUGGAGUGCUAGAGGGUGGGAGAGGAAAGCGGAAUUCCUGGUGUAGCGGUGAAAUGCGUAGAUAUCAGGAGGAACACCUGCGGUGUAGACAGCUUUCUGGACCACUUCUGACGCUGAGACACGAAAGCGUGGGUAGCAAACAGG